rnacentral:rRNA from 1 species
AACGAACGCUGGCGGCAUGCCUAACACAUGCAAGUCGAACGAGAUCUUCGGGUCUAGUGGCGCACGGGUGCGUAACGCGUGGGAAGCUGCCCUUUGGUUCGGAAUAACAGUUGGAAACGACUGCUAAUACCGGAUGAUGACGAAAGUCCAAAGAUUUAUGGCCAGAGGAUGAGCCCGCGUAAGAUUAGCUAGUUGGUGUGGUAAAGGCGAACCAAGGCGACGAUCCUUAACUGGUCUGAGAGGAUGAUCAGCCACACUGGGACUAAGACACGGCCCAGAAUCCUACAGGAGGCAGCAGUGUGAAAUAUUGGACAAUGGGCGAAAGCCUGAUCCAGCAAUGCCGCGUGAGUGAUGAAGGCCUUAGGGUUGUAAAGCUCUCUUACCCGGGAUGAUAAUGACAGUACCGGGAGAAUAAGCUCCGGCUAACUCCGUGCCAGCCGCCGCAGUAA